GAUGAACGCUGGCGGCGUGCUUAACACAUGCAAGUCGAACGAAGCACUUAUCUUUGAUUCUUCGGAUGAAGAGGUUUGUGACUGAGUGGCGGACGGGUGAGUAACGCGUGGGUAACCUGCCUCAUACAGGGGGAUAACAGUUAGAAAUGACUGCUAAUACCGCAUAAGACCACAGAGCCGCAUGGCUCGGUGGGAAAAACUCCGGUGGUAUGAGAUGGACCCGCGUCUGAUUAGGUAGUUGGUGGGGUAACGGCCUACCAAGCCAACGAUCAGUAGCCGACCUGAGAGGGUGACCGGCCACAUUGGGACUGAGACACGGCCCAAACUCCUACGGGAGGCAGCAGUGGGGAAUAUUGCACAAUGGGGGAAACCCUGAUGCAGCGACGCCGCGUGAGCGAAGAAGUAUUUCGGUAUGUAAAGCUCUAUCAGCAGG
rnacentral:rRNA from 1 species